rnacentral:pre_miRNA from 1 species
AAAAAGACAAACCCUGAAUUUCCGUGUCCAACGUUUGACCGUCCGUCUUAUUUAAAAAAAUAUGAAAAAAAUUAAAAAGACAAGUUACGCAUAAAGUAUUAAUCAUGUUUUAUCAUCUAACAACAAUGAAAAUACUAAUUAUAAAAAAAAAUUCAUAUAAAACGAAUAGUCAAACGUUGGACACGAAAAUUUAGGAUUUGUCUUUUU